GAUGAACGCUGGCGGCGUGCCUAAUACAUGCAAGCCGAGCGAACAGACGAGGAGCUUGCUCCUCUGACGUUAUCGGCGGACGGGUGAGUCACACGUGGAUAACCUACCUAUAAGACUGGGAUAACUUCGGGAAACCGGAGCUAAUACCGGAUAAUAUAUUGAACAGCAUGGUUCACUAGUGAAAGACGGUUUUGCUGUCACUUAUAGAUGGAUCCGCGCCGCAUUAGCUAGUUGGUAAGGUAACUGCUUACCAAGGGAACGAUGCGUAGCCGACCUGAAAGGGUGAUCGGCCACACGGGAAGAGAGGCACAGCCCAGACUCCGAGGGUAGGCAGCGGUAGGGAAUCUUCCGGAAUGGGCGAAAGCCGGACGGAGCAACGCCGGGGGAGGGAUGAAGGUCUUCGGAUCGGAAAGCUCUGUUAGUAGGGAAGAAGAAAUGUGUAAGUAACUAUGAACGUCUUGACGGUACCUAAUCAGAAAGCCCCGGCUAACUACGUG
rnacentral:rRNA from 1 species